UUUAAUGUAGGUGUUUAUUGCUAUAAUCUUCCCUCUUAGAACUGCUUUUGUUGAAUCCCAUAAUUUUGGGGAUAUUUUGUUUCUAUUUAGCUCUUCUCAAGAUAUUUUUGUAUUUCCAUUUUGAUUUCUUCUUUGACGCAUUGGUUGUUCAGGAGCACAUUGUUUAAUUUACACAUAGUUGUGAAUUUUCCAAAUUUACUCCUAUUUGUUGAUUUCUAGUUUCAUGCCAUUUUGUCCAGAAAAUAUACUUGAUUUGAUUCAAAUCUUCUUAAAGAUGUUAAGACUUGGUUCAGUUGGGUCCUAGCAGCGGUGUCUUCUGAGGCUCUCCGUGCCCUCUCCUUUUCACUUCCUGAAACAUGGCCUCAGUGGUGGCUGGUCUCUGAUGGUGUCAUCAAGGUGUUCAAUGACAUGAAAGUGCGUAAGUCUUCAAUGCCAGAGGAGGCGAUGAAGCACAAGAAGGCGGUGUUCUUCUGCCUGAGUGAGGAUAAGAAGAACAUCAUCCUGGAGAAGGGCAAGGAGAUCCUGGUGGGCGAUGUGGGCCAGACUGUCGACAACCCCUACGCCACCUUUGUCAGGAUGCUGCCAGAUAAGAACUGCCGCUACGCCCUCUAUGAUGCAACCUACAAGACCAAGGAGAGCAAGGAGGAGGACCUGGUGUUUAUCUUCUGGGCCCCUGAGUCUGUGCCCCUUAAGAGCAAAAUAAUCUAUGCUAGCUCCAAGGAUGCCAUCAAGAAGAAGCUGACAGGGAUCAAGCAUGAAUUACAAGCAAACUGCUAUGAGGAGGUCAAGGACCGCUGCACCCUGGCAGAGAAGCUGGGGGGCAGUGCCGUCAUCUCCCUGGAGGGCAAGCCUUUGUGAGCCCCUUCUGGCCCCCUACCUGGAGCAUCUGGCAGCCCCACACUUCCCCUCGGGGGUUGCAGGCUGCCCGCUUCCUGCCAGACUGGAGGGACUGGGGGGAUACCAGCAGAGGGAGGGCAAUCCCUUCACCCCAGUUUCCAAACAGAUCCCACACCCCCUGGAUUUCCCUCCUCCUUCCUUCCCUGACGGUUCUGGCCUUCCCAAACUGCUUUUGAUCUUCUGAUUCCUCUUUGGUUGAAGCAGACCAAGUUUUCCCCAGGAACUCCAGUUGUGGAGUGAGCUGUAUUUUUUUUUAAACAACAUCCCCACUCCCUACCUGUUCCUCUCCCUUCACAUGCUGCCAACUUCUAACCGCAAUAGUGACUCUGUGCUUGUCUGUUUAGUUCUGUGCAUAAAUAGAAUGUUGUGGAGAUGACCCCUCCCUGUGCCGGCUGGUUUCUCUCACUUUUCCCCUGGUCAUUGCUAGUCAUGGAAGCAGGGCCAGUAAGGGACCUUCGAUUAAAAAAAAAAAAAGAC